rnacentral:rRNA from 1 species
UAGGGAAUCUUCGGCAAUGGACGGAAGUCUGACCGAGCAACGCCGCGUGAGUGAAGAAGGUUUUCGGAUCGUAAAGCUCUGUUGUUAGAGAAGAACGUUGGUAGGAGUGGAAAAUCUACCAAGUGACGGUAACUAACCAGAAAGGGACGGCUAACUACGUGCCAGCAGCCGCGGUAAUACGUAGGUCCCGAGCGUUGUCCGGAUUUAUUGGGCGUAAAGCGAGCGCAGGCGGUUCUUUAAGUCUGAAGUUAAAGGCAGUGGCUUAACCAUUGUACGCUUUGGAAACUGGAGGAAUUGAGUGCAGAAGGGGGGAGUGGAAUUCCAUGUGUAGCGGUGAAAUGCGUAGAUAUAUGGAGGAACACCGGUGGCGAAAGCGGCUCUCUGGUCUGUAACUGACGCUGAGGCUCGAAAGCGUGGGGAGCAAACAGG